UACGUAGGGGGCAAGCGUUGUCCGGAAUUAUUGGGCGUAAAGAGCUCGUAGGCGGUCUGUUGCGUCGGUUGUGAAAACCUGGGGCUCAACUCCAGGCCUGCAAUCGAUACGGGCAGACUAGAGUUCGGUAGGGGAGACUGGAAUUCCUGGUGUAGCGGUGAAAUGCGCAGAUAUCAGGAGGAACACCGGUGGCGAAGGCGGGUCUCUGGGCCGAAACUGACGCUGAGGAGCGAAAGCGUGGGGAGCGAACAGG
rnacentral:rRNA from 1 species